AUCCAACUGACGAGUCCCAAAUAGGACGAAACGCGUGUCCUACAU
rnacentral:hammerhead_ribozyme from 1 species